rnacentral:rRNA from 1 species
ACUAGAGUAGCACUCGCAUAUCAAUAAGCGGAGGAAAAGAAACUAACAAGGAUUCCCCUUAGUAACGGCGAGUGAAGCGGGAAGAGCUCAAAUCUGAAAUCUUCAAGGUUCUACCUUGACGAAUUGUAGUUUAAAGAAGUGUUUUCUGUUAGUGGAGGUGGCUAAAAGUUCUCUGGAAUAGGACAUCAUAGAGGGUGAGAAUCCCGUAUUUGAUCACUUCCUUACUAAGCUUUGUGAUACACUUUCAAAGAGUCGGAUUGUUUGGGAAUGCAGUCCAAAAUGGGUGGUAAAUUUCAUCUAAAGCUAAAUAUUGGCGAGAGACCGAUAGCGAACAAGUACCGUGAGGGAAAGAUGAAAAGAACUUUGAAAAGAGAGUUAAGCAGUACGUGAAAUUGUCAAAAGGGAAGCGUUUGACACCAGUGUUGUUUUUCCGAAAAUCAAUUAAGAAAUGUUUUGUUUCUGAGGAGUGAUGACUUCAUCGGCUUCCUUCUCUCUUCACGAAACUUUUGUAAUGCACUUUUCGGUUAACAAGUCAACAUCAAUUUCUUUUGUUGUAAAAGAGUAUCCGGAAGGUGGCUUUCUUUUCGGAGAAAGUGUUUAUAGCCCUAUACUUCUACAAUCGGAGAGAUUGAGGUCUGCAGCGUAGAUCCUUCGGGGUUAGAUACAUUUGUGCUAAGUUAUAGCUUUUCAUAGACAACUUGUUGACUAUGUUUAGUCUUGUAGCUUACUCGCUUAUGCUAUUUUACCUACGCUUAGGAUGUUGAAGAUAUGCGCGACACG